GGAAGUUGUAAAUGAUAAGAAUUCCUCCUGCCCAAUGUCGAACACACAGAGGAAGGCAAAGGUCGCGUCAGGACACCAGCCGCUUGUUUACUGUCUCUGAAGCUGAAGUUCUGAAGAGCCACGCGGCUCUCUUCAGGCCUUCAGGACCUCUUCACUUCUUUCGUUAUGACCGCAGGGUGGACCGUGAACGCACCGCGGUGAGUUCGAGUUGUACGUACAAAGCAACAACACACUGACUUCAGCUACAACUGUGGGACGUUAAUUCCAGUGUGCGCGACUCUGCAGCAGGUGACAUCUCAAACAAGCUGAAGAUUAGAAUGGAACUUACCGGCGUGAUAAACAGGACACGACAUUUCUGAUGUAAACAGGAAGGAAUAAACAACAACACAGGACCCAACACAAGGUUUAAUGUCCUUCAAUAAGACUGCGACGUGUUGAAGUGACGUUUAUACAGACGCACAGCAGGGAAUUGUGGGAAAUGUAGUUAGGGCCUAAGAAGCCUUUGUACGGGGUUUAACUUACUUUCCCCAGUAGUGGAAGAAGUAUUCAGAUCAUUUACUCGAAUUAAAGUAAUUAUAGUUAACUUUGUGUCCUUGGCACCUUUCAAAACACAAUUACAGGGGCCUUGAAAAAUAGGAAAAGGGAAAUUGAAGGCAAAUAAUAGGAAACUGUUGAGAAAAAGCUACCAAUAUUUGAAGAUCACACAGCAUUGGAGCACUGAAAUAGAGAUAUAUAAAAAAAAAAAGGUGAGAAAAGACUAAACUAAAUAGAUAGUAAGGUCAGAACUAUGAGGAAGCAAAUGCUUUAAAAGUGUCUGUAGCAGAGAUUUACGAGAGGAUAAGGAGUUUGCGUGACGUUUCUCCUCUGACAGAAAAGUCCCAGUCACCUCUGGUCCUCUGCUGGAACUGUGGAGUGGCGAGUUGGGUCUUUAUUCAGAAGGACUGGUCAAAAGAUCUGCAGUGUAGUUCAAUGCAAGUCCAUAUCAGGCCUUAAAAGUCAGCAAUAUAAACUUUAGAUUAAUUCUAAAAUCUACUGGAAGCCAGCAAAGAGAAACUAGAUUAGGUGAGAAGUGUGGCUGCUGGUUUUGGUCGAGCUCUUAUUUAUGUAGACCGUCAGCUCAGGCAGGUUAAGAGAGGGAAAGUAUCUCUACACUUAAAAAAUGUUAUGCUGCAAGUAGAAGUCAUGCAUUCAAAACCUAAGCAAAAUGAUCAAAAACUUGUACUUAAAGUAAGAAGUAAAAUGACUAAUAGUGCAGUAAAAUGUUUACUCUGUUUUGUCUGUGUCUGUGAUAGCCAUAAAAAGUCCACAUUUUAAAACCUCAGCCAAGUAGUUUCAGCUUUGUGAGUGUUUUUUUUAAGAUUUGAUUUAGAAUAUGAAAUUAACGAAUAGUUCUUUGGAAAAAUUCAAAGUUAACACAUCUGCAGAUAAGUGGUUUCUGCCAAAGCUGUUAGACAGGAGAAGUAUCAUAUUUCCUGACAUGUAGUGGAGUGGAAACUAUGAAAGUUGCAUAAAUGCCAAUACUAAUGUAAAGCACACAGACAUGUCUGAUAAAAUAAAGCAUACUUUAUUGACAUUUUACAGUGUACUCAAUCUGGACCACUACAUAACUGUCUUUUUUACUACUAACUACUUUACCUAUAAAGGCACAUUUACAUUGCCUGUGUUUUUUUAUUUAUAUAUUUAUAAAAUCUCUGCAGGCCAAAGCACACACGUACGACUAAAAUGCAUGCAUUGCCCAGAUCUUAAGCUCUGUUAAGCUUUGCUCUUUUUGCAGUUCUUGAGAGCGUCUGCCAGGGCGUGAAGUGCCAUGUCAGCGUUGGUCUUCUCACAGUUGUAUCCCAUCAAUCCAAUCCUCAUCACCUGAUGAAAAGUGCGAUGGAGAGAAGAGUGAGUCCACAGUGACUCAGCAGCAUGAUUCAGGAAGCUAUAAAAACACCUGACUUCUGACAUUGCUCUCGUUAUAAUUGUUUACGGUAAAAUCCCCCCCUUUUUUUUAAUUCCAAAAAUACCUUUUAAGAAAAAGUAUUUACUGUAAAGGGAUAAAAUACCAGCAGGAGCUUACCUUGCCAAUGGAAGGACCCAGGCCUCCAGUCAUCUCCAUCUGGUGGUGUUUCAUUAUGUACAUCAACAACUCCCUCCAGUCGUAACCGUUGGGGAUUGCAAUGGUGGUGACGGAUGGAAGCCUUAAAUCCUGCAGGACAUGUCACAGAAUUAAAAGAAAAAUCGGGAGUCUACAAUCUUACAGCUCAAACAGGCAGGUUCGGUAUCUGUUUUCUUUUGGCACAAUACGUUUGUUGUUCUUAAGUAUCAGGUUCUUUGUUGUAGUUUCGUAUGGCACCAUUAUAUAGUUGUUAACCCGCCUCACCCUUUCAGGGACGAAGAGCUUGAGUCCCAGGUCUUCCAGUCCUCUGUACAGAUAGGAUGCCACUUCCUUGUGUUUCUUCCAGGACUCCUCCAGCCCCUAGAGGGAGACAAAGGACAAGGCAGUUCAGGUGCUGGCAGGGGCUGGUGAGUUCACGGUUAAUGAAUGGUGUGGUAAAUGUGUGAGGUGGUGAAAAGUACCACGGCCCUCGAUUCGAAGAAAAGCCUUUGAAUAGAUGAAAAAGUGGUAAAAUGCUGAUUUACCUUCUCAACAAGAAUCGCCAGACCCUCUCUGAGACCGAAGAAUCCAGACACAGGACCAGUGUGGUGGUAACUAACAUCCAGAGCACAUUCGAUUAAACAUGCUUCUCAUACCAAAUAUUGGUGUUCUUUAAUAAUAUGAACAUUUCAUAGUUAAAAAAUAAAGUUCAAGGUCAUUCUCAAAGAUCAUCUGCAGUUUCCAAUUUAAGUCAAGUUCAUGUGGGUAUGAGUAGAACAUUGACGCUUGGUUGCAGCAGACUUACAUUCUUGCUGGUUGGCCAUCACAACCCCAGUAGUUGGAUAAAUGUGUCAUGUCAAAGAGGUAGGACACUGGUUUUGUUUUCCUGUUAAACAUCUUGUGGCUGUGAAAGGUAUCAGAGACAAAGAGAUUCAAUUACUCUUUUUUUUGUUGUCAUUUCUUUUUAAACUGUUGUGAAAAUGUACGGAGCUGUACGAGCAGCUACACACACCACAGAGGGCUUUCUUACCACGCUCUGUCAUUGAACGAGAUGGGGGCUGUGCCAGGAGGCGCAUUCAGGGCCUUCUGAGAGCCAGUGUACAGGAUGUCAAUAUCUGGGAGAACAAGAGGCACAGUAUAUCACAUGCAAGUGCAUGGUAGCAGGCUGAUUAACUCUCAAUUCAUGUUUUACAUAAUUUCCUUACUUUGCUUGUCCAUAAAAAUUGGUGCUGCUCCAAGAGAAGCGACUGUGUCGACCAGAAAGAGGCAGUUAUGUCUGCGGGAGUGAGGGUUGAAAAAUAUGCCAUUAUGCUUUGUAAUUAGCCCAUGUAGUUUAUGUUCUGUUUCAGAGAGAUGCAGAGAAAUGCAGAGUGAGCCUCACUUUCUGCAGAUGUCCCCAAUGCCAUCUAUUGGGUGACAGAGGCCAGCGGAGGACUCUCCAUGUGUGAGGAAAAACAGGACGGGCUUGUGUUUUUCAAUGGCCUAGAGACAAGUAAGAAUAGAGUCAAUUAUUUAUUACAAAACAUGUGUUUAGUAACUGUUUAUGUUUGUUAUGUGUAUUAAUUAUGUAUUGGUUCUUAUAGAUGAGCUUGUACAGGA